UACUUGGGGUUGCUCUCUAGUGUUAUUGGUGAAUGAUUGGGUAGUAACAGCAGCAAUGAGAAUCGGUUUACGUUCCUUGGCAUAAUUUUUGCAGACGUCAAAUAACUUGAAACUCGUACGACGUUCUCUCUCUAUAAAUAAAUAUAUUUUAAAUCUUAGCGCCAGUCCACUUCUACUGAUUUUUUUGGAGUCUUGGACUUAUCCAAUAGUAUUAUUUGUCUUUUUAAAUAUUUUUUAAAUCCAUUUAAACAUUUUAUCCUUCUGUUCGGAUUGUUUUCCUUGACUCUAUAUUCAUGCAUAAUCCAGUUAGUCUUCUUACCCUUUGGAGGUCUUCCCCUAUAAAAAACCAAUGCCUUCUUAUACCCAACUACGGCUCCAUUGGAUUUGAUUUCCCUGUUAGCUCUGGUGGCCUAC